AGGGACCAGCGAGGAUCAGCUCUCAGAAUCCAGCACUGAGGAACGGCCCAAUGGGGUGGAUUUUCAUCGCCCUCCAGGUUUUUCAGAAAUCAAUCACAGCCUCCACAGCUGGCCAAGACAGGGAUUUUGAUGGUUCCUUUCACGCUAUUCAGCCCCAAUAGCACUUAUAUAUUUAAAAGCCACUUUGGGUCACUGGGACAAGAUAAGCAAUUUUUCACCAACAGAGUAUGCCUCGGGACAGAGAGACACAAG